rnacentral:rRNA from 1 species
CUACGGGAUGCUCCAGUGAGGAAUAUUGCACAGUGGGGGGAACCCUGAUGCAGCAACGCCGCGUGGAGGAUGACGCAUUUCGGUGUGUAAACUCCUUUUAUAUGUCAAGAAAAUGACGGUAGCAUAUGAAUAAGCACCGGCUAACUCCGUGCCGAGCAGCCGCGGUAAUACGGAGGGUGCAAGCGUUACUCGGAAUCACUGGGCGUAAAGGACGCGUAGGCGGGUUGGAAAGUCAGGUUUGAAAUCCUACAGCUUAACUGUAGAACUGCACUUGAAACUUCUAAUCUAGAGUAUGGGAGGGGGAGAUGGAAUUAGUGGUGUAGGGGUAAAAUCCGUAGAUAUCACUAGGAAUACCUAAAGCGAAGGCGAUCUCCUGGAACAUUACUGACGCUAAGGCGUGAAAGCGUGGGGAGCAAACAGGAUUAGAUACCCCAGUAGUC